UACGUAGGUGGCAAGCGUUGUCCGGAAUUAUUGGGCGUAAAGCGCGCGCAGGCGGUUUCUUAAGUCUGAUGUGAAAGCCCACGGCUCAACCGUGGAGGGUCAUUGGAAACUGGGAGACUUGAGUGCAGAAGAGGAGAGUGGAAUUCCACGUGUAGCGGUGAAAUGCGUAGAGAUGUGGAGGAACACCAGUGGCGAAGGCGACUCUCUGGUCUGUAACUGACGCUGAUGUGCGAAAGCGUGGGGAUCAAACAGG
rnacentral:rRNA from 1 species